AAAAGUACGUGAAAUUGUUGAAAGGGAAGCGCUUGCAACCAGACUUGUCCGCAGUUGCUCAGCCGGUCUCCUGACCGGCGUACUCUUCUGCGGCCAGGCCAGCAUCAGUUCGGGCGGUCGGAUAAAGGCCUCGGGAAUGUGGCUCCUCUCGGGGAGUGUUAUAGCCCGGGGUGCAAUGCGGCCAGCCUGGACUGAGGAACUCGCUUCGGCAAGGAUGCUGGCGUAAUGGUUGUAAGCGGCCCGUCUUGAAACACGGACCAAGA
rnacentral:rRNA from 1 species